AUACGGAGGGUCCAAGCGUUAUCCGGAUUCAUUGGGUUUAAAGGGUGCGCAGGCGGGCUUGUAAGUCGGUGGUGAAAUACUGCCGCUUAACGGUAGAACUGCCAUUGAUACUGCAAGUCUUGAAUAUGGUUGAGGUAGGCGGAAUGUGUUGCGUAGCGGUGAAAUGCAUAGAUAUGACACAGAACGCCAAUUGCGAAGGCAGCUUACUAAGCCAUUAUUGACGCUGAGGCACGAAAGCGUGGGGAGCGAACAGGAUUAGAAACCCCAGUAGUCC
rnacentral:rRNA from 1 species